CACACCGUAAACGAUGGAUACUAGCUAGUUGGGGGUAUCGACCCCCUCAGCAGCGAAGCUAACGCGUUAAGUAUCCCGCCUGGGGAGUACGGUCGCAAGAUUAAAACUCAAAGGAAUAGACGGGGACCCGCACAAGCGGUGGAGCGUGUUCUUUAAUUGGAUGAUAAGCCAAGAACCUUACCCAGACUUGACAUCCCGAGAAGGACUGCGAAAGCAGACUGUGCUUUAUUGAACUCGGUGACAGGUGC
rnacentral:rRNA from 1 species